AUGACACUGUCGGGCCUGCUCAACGUCAUCGACGGCUUGUGGUCAACCACCGGCGAGGAGCGCGUCAUCGUCUUCACCACCAACUACAAGGACCGCCUCGACCGGGCGCUGCUACGGCCGGGCCGCAUGGACAUGCACGUCUACAUGGGACACUGUGGCUGGGAGGCCUUCAGGACGCUCGCCCGGAACUACCACCUCCUCGACGACCACGCUCUCUUCCCGGAGAUUCAAGAACUUCUUGCGGCCGUGGAGGUUACACCCGCGGAGGUGUCCGAGAUGCUGCUGCGGAGCGAGGACGUCGACGUUGCGCUGCGUGUGCUUAUGGAAUUCAUCAAAGCAAGGAGAAGCAAAACAAACGACAAGCACAACGACGGCAUAACUAACUAG
rnacentral:rRNA from 1 species